rnacentral:rRNA from 1 species
GGGAUAGGAUACUAUGGAGUUGUUGCUGGCCUCUAGGGGCAUGUGCACGCUUCACUAGUCUUUCAACCACCUGUGAACUUUUGAUAGAUCUGUGAAGUCGUCUUUCAAGUCGUCAGACUUGGUUGGUGGGAAUUAAACCUCCCCGUGUGACCACCCCAUCCAAUUACUUACACACCCCCCAUGUGUGUCUACACAAGUGAUUUUAAGGGGCUUGUGCCCAUAUACCCCAAAACAACUCUUUACAACAGAUAUCUUGUGUCUCUCAUCUCUAAAAAAAACACCGCAAAGUGAUAAAAAAAGUGAAAAGUGCAAAUCUCUGAAACACCUCAACUCUUAACACACCUCGUGCCCCUCGUGAUACUCAGAGGCAUGCGUGUGUGAGAGUGACAAUAUUCUCUCACUCUCACUGUGGUCUUUCCAUUUGGAUGUUUGAUUGUUGGGGGCUGCUGGCCUUGACAGGUCGCCUCCCCUUAAUGCAUUACAGGACUUCUCAUUGCCCCUGCCCAUGAGUGAUAAUUACACUCAUCAAUAGCACGCAGGAAAGAGUCCAGCUCUCUAAUCGUCGCAAGGACAAUUUGACAUUUGACCUCAAAUCAGUAGACUACCGCUGAACUUAAGCAAUCACACGCGGAGAAAA